ACCCUAAAGCUAGCCAUUACCCUAAAAACAACAACAAAAUAAUAAUAACCCCAAACACACAAUCACCAAUACACCAAACCAUUUUUCCGCCCUAGUAUGGGAGACAGAAAAGGACCCGUUGAGCUAUAGAAAAAGUACCGCAAGGGAAAGCUGAAAGAGAAGUGAAACAACUCAGCAAGUAAUAGAAAGCAGAGCCCCCCCCUCGUACCUUUUGUAUCAUGAUUUAGCCAGUCAAACCCAAGCAAAGCGACCUUCAGUUUGCUACCCCGAAACUAAGCGAGCUACUCCAAGACAGCCUAUUAAAAGGGCAAACCCGUCUCUGUGGCAAAAGAGUGGGAGGAGCUUUGAGUAGAGGUGACAGACCUACCGAGCCUAGUUAUAGCUGGUUGCCCGGGAAAUGGAUAGAAGUUCAGCCUUCAGGUUUCUCCCCUCCAACCGAAACACAACCUUUCGACCCAGAUGAAGCCAGGAGAGUUAGUCAGAGGGGGUACAGCCCCUCUGACAAAGGACACAACCUUAUUGAGGAGGAUAAAGAUCACUUUAUGCAAAGAUCUACAUUAAGGUGGGCCUAAAAGCAGCCAUCCUUGCAGAAAGCGUUAAAGCUCAAAUGUAAAAUCAUCUAUCGAUGCCGAUAACCCAAACUUAUUCCCCUAACCCUACCGGGCCUUCCCAUGCAAACAUGGGAAAGAUAAUGCUAAUAUGAGUAAUAAGAAAGACACUACCCCUUUCUCCCCACACAAGUGUACAUCGGUCCGGACCCCCCACCGAAUAUUAACGGCCCCAAAGUCAGAGGGUAAUAAAAUGAAUACAGAUGACUAGACAAAGCUUUAGAAAAAUAGCCGUUACCCCUACACUGGAGUGUAUUAAAGGAAAGACUAAAAGGAAAAGAAGGAACUCGGCAAACACACCCAUUAGCCCCGCCUGUUUACCAAAAACAUCGCCUCUUGCAAGAAGUAAUAUAAGAGGUCCCGCCUGCCCUGUGACUCUAUGAGUUUAACGGCUGCGGUAUUUUGACCGUGCAAAGGUAGCGCAAUCACUUGUCUUUUAAAUAAAGACCUGUAUGAAUGGCAUCACGAGGGCUAAACUGUCUCCUUUUCCCAGUCAAUGAAAUUGAUCUCCCCGUGAAGAAGCGGGGAUACAACUAUAAGACGAGAAGACCCUGUGGAGCUUUAAACGCAAGAGAAGGUCAUGUCAAGCCCCCCCCCCGGUGAAACAAAAUGAACACUUCUCUAAUGUUUUUGGUUGGGGCGACCGCGGGGAAAUAAAAAACCCCCACGUGGAACGGGAGCACCCCUCCUACAACUAAGAGCAACAGCUCUAAUUAACGGAACAUCCGACCAACAAUGAUCCGGCCAGACCGAUCAACGGACCCAGUUACCCCAGGGAUAACAGCGCAAUCCCCUUUUAGAGACCUUAUCGCCAAGGGGGUUUACGACCUCGAUGUUGGAUCAGGACAUCCUAAUGGUGCAGCCGCUAUUAAGGGUUCGUUUGUUCAACGAUUAAAGUCCUACGUGAUCUGAGUUCAGACCGGAGUAAUCCAGGUCAGUUUCUAUCUAUAACAUGCUUUUUUCUAGUACGCAAGGACCGAAGAAAGAGGGCCCCUGCUCAAGGCACGCCCUUCCUCCAUCUAAUGAAGACAACUAAAUUAGACAAGAAGGCAUUACCCGCCUGCCUUAGACACAAGGCUU
rnacentral:rRNA from 1 species